AGGAUGCUUCUGCUUAAAGGGAGGUUGGGUUUAGUGGUAUUACAGGAUGCUUCUGCUUAAAGGGAGGUUGGGUUUAGUGGUAUUACAGGAUGCUUCUGCUUAAAGGGAGGUUGGGUUUAGUGGUAUUACAGGAUGCUUCUGCUUAAAGGGAGGUUGGGUUUAGUGGUAUUACAGGAUGCUUCUGCUUAAAGGGAGGUUGGGUUUAGUGGUAUUACAGGAUGCUUCUGCUUAAAGGGAGGUUGGGUUUAGUGGUAUUACAGGAUGCUUCUGCUUAAAGGGAGGUUGGGUUUAGUGGUAUUACAGGAUGCUUCUGCUUAAAGGGAGGUUGGGUUUAGUGGUAUUACAGGAUGCUUCUGCUUAAAGGGAGGUUGGGUUUAGUGGUAUUACAGGAUGCUUCUGCUUAAAGGGAGGUUGGGUUUAGUGGUAUUACAGGAUGCUUCUGCUUAAAGGGAGGUUGGGUUUAGUGGUAUUACAGAAUGCUUCUGCUUAAAGGGAGGUUGGGUUUAGUGGUAUUACAGGAUGCUUCUGCUUAAAGGGAGGUUGGGUUUAGUGGUAUUACAGGAUGUCAUACUUGGUGGAGAGUGUUCAAGGAAUGAGGGAGAUGGGGAGAGAGAGGUUUUGAAGUGAUGUUAUUGGGUGAUAGUGCCACCACUGACACCUCUGAUGGGCCCCAGUGUGACCUUUUAGUUCCCUCCAUAGCAGUCGGUCUGUGGUGGUUUCACAACAUUCAGGUGUGUGUGUGUGGCUACUGGGUAGAGUGUGCCAUGCCAGCGGGCUGUUUGAUGAAUGCUCUGAUCUGACUGAUCUGUGUACAGUAUGUCUGUCUGAAGCUCUCUCUCUAUAAAAAUUCUAUGCUGUGGUAUAAAUAGUAUAGUAUUCACUGUUGUGUUUUUGCAGACUUUACUGUAGUAUUCACUGUAGUGUUUUUGCAGUUAUAUGUAGUAAAAUAAAUUGUAUAUACUACAGUAAUUCAUGUAGUGUUUUUGCAGAUUGUAGUAUACUGUAGUAUUUACUGUAGUACAAAGUAUCAUCUUUGAGGAAAACUAUUGGAGAAAUACUAAAAGAGCAGCUUUUCCAUAACCUGUAGGUAGGUAAGUCUGGGGUCUGAAGGUCUGGGGUCUGAAGGGAA